GUGUAACCGCGGUAAAGGGGCGGGGCUUUUUCUGGCGGCCAUCUUGGGUGCGGCGCCAUGUUGAGUGUGCGCCAUGUUGAGUGUGGCACCCGGUGGCACAAGGCGGGAUGGUGGGGUCAAGGCGCCCACAUCCCAACUUUUUGAGGAAAGAAGGGGAUCGGUGCAUACCCCUCUUAAUUCCCAGCCGAGUUCUUCCUAGAGAGAAUCAACCCAGACUUUUCCACCUGUCACAACCCCAGGAAGGGCAAAAUGCAAAUUGAUUUAUUAACUGAAUCACAAGCAACACACUCCGGAAAAGCCGCCAGGGACCAAAGCGGAGGGGAGAAUGGGCCCCGCUAUGGCAUCAUGCGCCACCAUUGGAAGGUGAAGGGCCGGCGCUGGACGCUGGUGCCGCAGCGAACCUCUCCCAGGCUGCCGUGGUAGGAGGACACAUCCUCAAGGAAGCGGCAGCGCAGGCCCAGUGGCUCCAGGAGGGAACGGGCCCGUCGCUCCAGGCAGCAUUCACCUCCCGUCACGGGGCCGAAGGGCUUGGGGACGCCCAGGUCCUUGGCCAGGACCAUCAUGGUGACCUGUGGGGUGACACAGAGGGGGAACCCGGCGGUGUCAGGACUGAGGAAGGUGAAGAGAAGACGCUGGACGCCCUCACCCAUUGGCAUCGCCCCAAGAUGGGGGCACGGACACUACUUUUGGCAGCCCACCCCCCUGCUGACCUCCAAAUCCAACAGUGUUUCCCCCCUUUUAAUCAUUAAAAUGUGCCUCACACCUUGAAAUUUCACCACUUUGAGUGGUUUUCACCUCAAAAUUAUACAGUUUAACCCAACUGCAAGCAACAUGAAGCUACAAAGCUGUGGUUGACCUGGGCGUAUCGGGAGAUACUUUCUUUUUUGGGGGCAGCUGUAAAGACUGCUUUUUUGGGGCAACUCUGGGAACUCGUUCUAGCUGAAUAAGCUGGUUUUUGGGGAGGAUCCAAGGAACGGGAACGCUGCUCACCAUGUUGGGGAAGUAGGGCACGGCUUUGCCCUGCUUGUCAAGCUUGAAGAGGGUGGGUAGGUCAAUGAUGUCCUCCUCCGUCAGCUCCAGCUCCUUCUUCAGGAUGUCCCUGUUCCAGUCGAUGCAGCGCUGGAGGAGAUUGGGAAAAGCAGGCCGAGAUUUGAGGACAUGGGUGGGCACAGUCCCCAAAACCAUCUCACACAGAAGAGCCAAAAUGUGUCACCUUCUUUAAGGGUUUGCACUGCCUCAGGUGAUUAUUGCAAGAAAUAUAUCAAUUAUUGCAAGAAAUAUAUCAGUUAUUGAAAGAAAUGUAUCCAUUAUUGCCAGAAAUGUUGGUUAUUACCUGGACAUACUGGUUCUGCUGCGUCAGGAUGUCGUUGGAAAGGACCUUGUUAAUGGUGACGCGUUUUGUGUCUGUCCCCGAGUACCCUGCAAAUGCAAAACACCCUCCAAAUGAAGCGGUGCUGGUAGGAGCCCAGCUUAAAAUAGACCACAGAAAUGGGAAAAAGAAUAAAAAUACAACAAAUUCU